AGCCCACUUAUACUUAAUUAAUUAUUAGGCGGCCUUAUGUCGAGCCUUUUAAUUACUUAAACUUACAACAGUACUUUCUCCCAUUUAUUAAGCCCGAUUGAGUUUUACGAGGAUAAAAGCGAGUAAGUCGAAGUAUUUAUUUAUUCUUUCCUAUCGACUACGAGGAGCGGGGUUUAUUUAAUCGGCGGAUUAGAACACCCUGUAGAAAACGGAUUAAUUUUAGAUAAUUAUCCAGCUUCAUGAGAUGAGACUUAGCUUUUGUUUAAAUCCGAUAGCCUGGAUUAAUAGUAAAAUUUCCCGAUUAUUAUUUCAGAAUAAUAAUUCAUGCAUAAGAGGAUCAUGCAUCAUUAAUUUCGUAUUCUCAUUAUUUGAGGAUUUUGCUCGAGCAGUAUCUUAUUUAUAUUCUCGUAAUAAAGGUCAAGCACGAGAUUAAUAAUCAGUCAAGGAGCUACUGUACCACAGAAAGUUUCUAUCAGGUGGG
rnacentral:lncRNA from 1 species